GCGUUUCACCACAACCCGAAUUACUUUCCGGAACCAGACAAAUUUAAUCCUGAAAGAUUUGCAGAUGAAACCAAAAUUGAUCCAUUCGCUUAUAUCCCGUUUGGCGUAAAACCUCGGCAAUGUCUAGGGAAAGAAUUUGCAAUGCUCGAGAUGAAAUGUGCCUUAUCCAAAAUAAUCAGGAACUUUCAAGUGGUGAAAGUUCCAGAUUUUCAGCUGGAUCUGAGGCCGAAAUUGGUGCUGUUUUCCGCCAAUGGAAUUUGGGUUGGGUUUAAAAAAAGAAGCGUGACCGAUGAAAAUGUGUAAAAGUUCGAUUGAUGAAUCUCAAAACCCGAGGGGUGUAAUAAAUAAAAUGCAUUUA
rnacentral:lncRNA from 1 species